rnacentral:rRNA from 1 species
AGAGUUUGAUCCUGGCUCAGAACGAACGCUGGCGGCAGGCCUAACACAUGCAAGUCGAACGCCCUCUUCGGAGGGAGUGGCAGACGGGUGAGUAACACGUGGGAACGUGCCCGAAGGUACGGAACAACUCCGGGAAACUGGAGCUAAUACCGUAUGUGUCCGCAAGGAGAAAGAUUUAUCGCCUUCGGAUCGGCCCGCGUCAGAUUAGCUAGUUGGUGGGGUAAAAGCCUACCAAGGCGACGAUUCUGUAGCUGUUCUUAGAGGAAGACCAGCCACACUGGGACUGAGACACGGCCCAGACUCCUACGGGAGGCAGCAGUGGGGAAUCUUGGACAAUGGGCGCAAGCCUGAUCCAGCCAUGCCGCGUGGAUGACGAAGGCCUUAGGGUUGUAAAAUCCUUUCAGCGGGGACGAUAAUGAC